rnacentral:misc_RNA from 1 species
ACCUUUUUAUUCCAAGUUUGGGAUAGACUUGAAGGCUUUAGAUUACUCUAAUCCUUUGAAAUAAAGUUUGUUGGUGAUUGAUUUGGUCACUACCAUGUGCUAAAGACUAUAUGUCUUGUCAUGUUAAUGAUCAUAGUCAACCCAUUGUCAAACUAAUCAUUUGACAAAAUUACCUU